AUCCUACGGGAGGCAGCAGUGAGGAAUAUUGGUCAAUGGACGAGAGUCUGAACCAGCCAUGCCGCGUGAAGGAUGAAGGCGUUCUGCGUUGUAAACUUCUUUUAUCUGGGAAGAAACCUUCUUUUUCUAAGGAAGCCGACGGUACCAGAGGAAUAAGCACCGGCUAACUCCGUGCCAGCAGCCGCGGUAAUA
rnacentral:rRNA from 1 species